rnacentral:lncRNA from 1 species
AGUUAGACUCCCGUAAUACCCCAUAUUUAAACUCCAGUAUUACUAAUAAUAAGCAGCAAAACUAGGAACUUAUUGAGUCAAAAGUCAUAGUAAAUAGUUAGUUAAUAGUGAGAAUUGUCCCCAACAAAUGCACUGUCCUCUUCCCUCUUUCUCUCUCUCUCUCUCUCUCAGUAGCCUUUAUCUCCAUCAAACAGGGAUACUUUCUCCUUGGGGCUGUUUAUUAAAAGCUAACCCGUUCAGUAUGGAUAGUAUGUGAACAAGCAGCAUGGCUGAAGUAACUGACGGGUGCUACAUUCCCUCUUUGGCAGCCUGGAGUGUCCCAGGGAUGUAGACAAGCAGCUGAUGUCAUCCUCGGACCCUGGAACUGAGAGGACAUUAACGUCACCCCUGUGCAAUCAGAUCAGCGCCAUCCAUUUCAAAUAUAAAAAUCACCUGUCAUUGACCUGUCACUUGCAGCAACGAGAGACAGAGCUGUUAUGACAUCAUAGCCAUGUGACAAAUUGGAACUUUUACGUUGUCAACAAAUUAUGUAAUAGGGAAGAACAAGUGUUACUGAAAAAUUGUCAGAACAUUGUGCCAGGAAUCACAAAUGUGAGACACAAGAAAGUGUUUGUUGUGAAACUAACAACUGCCUUUCAUCCUUUUUUCAUGGUCACUGAGUUUCAGUUGGGACCCACAUUCAUUUCUAGCAGGCUAUAGAAAACCUGAGAGAUUUUCCUUGCUUGCACAAUAUAUGUCACCUAUCUAUAACAAAACUUCAGACAUAGACAUUUCACCUUUUCUACAGUUCUAAAAAUAAAGAUAAAAGAGUUUAAGUAUAACUAAUUUGGAACCAACACAACCAACCGCAACAUUCAAAGUAUACACAUCAAAUGCCAUAUUAAAACAAGACGAACCAGAGAGCUAAUUACUUACUCUAUAAGGAAUUCAUUAGACCACAAGCCCUUUCUCCAUCAGAGUAAUCUUAGAAGAUCUGACACUGGGCUUUAAGAGCAAAUAACAGGCCAAGGCCGAAGCUUGAAAGGUUAUAGAGCACAGGUCUCACAUCUCUUAAUAAAUUAAGAGGUGAGAUAGAGCUACUAAUGAGUUGUUUUGACACAGUCUGAGACCCACAAAUUGGAUCAAUACACAUUCAGUAAACGGUAAAGACACCAUCUUAAUUGGUCGUUCAUUCAUGUCACUCGUUGCAGGUUUUAGCAGGUUCAUUUUGUGUGUGUGUGUGUGUGUGUGUGUGUGUGUGUGUGUGCAUAGAAAUAGAGAUCACUCACGUUGUUGUGUGUGUGUGUGUGUGUGUGUGUGUGUGUGUGCAUGAAAUAGAGAUCACUCACUGAGUGAUCUGCCUUGUGCAUAUGUUCAUUAUUAUUAGUGAUAUAUUUAGCAUGAUUUCAGAAUAAGGUCUCACAAGUUACUGUUAACUAUGCAAUUAAUGUAACAACAAGCAGUACAUUUGAUAUUUA